rnacentral:SRP_RNA from 1 species
CCCAUGAACCAUGUCAGGUCCUGACGGAAGCAGCAUUAAGUGGAUCCUCAUAUGUGCCGUAGGGUAGCCGAGAUUUAGCUGUCGACUUCGGUAACGUUUGUGAUACACACUCGAUUCGAAGGUGCACGG